CUGUCCCUGAACCUUCCGCUUUGGUCAGGCUGGUCUCCCACGACCCCCACGUCCACAUUGCUGCCUUUGUCUCCACACCGUGGCUUUGCUGUUUCCUCCCCUGAAAAUGCUGUUGGCCUCCUCUUGACUUAUCCCAGUUCUACCAGGCCUGAAGGCUCCCCUCCGCUGCCGCUUUGAACAGCAGGGAAGUCUCUGCUUCCCAACCUCACAGAGCAGGCCCUCUCCCCCGGAGCUUCAUCGCAGACGUGCCGAGGGGUUACCUCUACAAUGCACAGUUGCCUUCUCACGCCCUGUUUUCUUCCCGGUUGCCCUCCUUGAGUCCUUUGGAUGCAGUGGAAGCUAGGCAGGCAAUUUCCUUAUCUAUAAAAUGCGGACGCUUCGUAACCCCUUGCAGGUUUUUAUGAAGAUUAGAGAUUACCUGUGCAUGUGCCUAACAGAUCUUAGAACAUAGUAAGUGUUCAAUGAAACGCACAGCAUGUUAUUUCUAAUGCUGCUGCUCUUCUCUGCUCCUCCUCCUGGCUCUGCUUCCUUUUCUCUUUUUAGAAAAUGAGCAUACAGGUGGAAACCCAAGAUUUAAAACACAUUUCUGUUAGCUGUAGCUUCUUUUCUUAUUCUUUCAUGGAGGGGUAAUGAUGGUGUGAGGAGGCAGAGAUGGAAGACUUCAGCGAGCUAAGCCCUCGGGUGAGACCUGGCCGUCGCUGACAGUGCCAUCCGCCUCCACGCUCUCGCCUCGCUAAUCCCCCAGGUGUGUGGUGGAAGCCAUUUAUAAGCCCCUCUCUCCUCGUUUCUCCUCCAUUUUUUAAAAUCACUUCUGCAUGAAACUAAUUCAUCAACACUCUACCAGCUGCUGGGGUGAAGGAAAUGGGAAACGUAAUCUUUUCAGGGAAGGUGAAAUAGAGGUGAAUUAAUUUAAGAACACCUAAACUCAACUUUACCCACGUCUUAGGUCCAUGCCAGAUUUAAAAGACAAUCCUCCCCAAUUUGUAGUCUACAGACCUCCAGCACCACAAUCUUCUGGGGUUCUUGUCUGGAAAUGAAAGGCAGACUCCCGCGCCUCCCCCAGGCCUACCACAUCAGUCUUUGGUGGCGAAAACCCCGGAGUUAGAUUUUAAAUAAGCUCCCCAUCAAAAUUUGAGAAUCAACUAGAACAUAGGAAAUAUAAAGGAGUGUAAUUUAUGUCUUUAGGAAGCUCACAAUAAGGCGGAGAUGAUAAAAAAGCAGGAAGGUGAUAAAUCACUGUGUGCUUUAGAGCGACCCUCCGGCAACAGUGCGCAGGACGGGCGUGAGAGGGAAGCUGGAGGCGGGAGGUCUGUUCAGAGGUGCUGGCAGUAAGCCUAGCAUGAGAUAAGACCUAGGGGUGCUGAAAAGGGAGGAACAGAUGCCACACGUCAACCCCCGUCAUAGAGGUGGUUUUUUAUUGCAGGCAGUCACCAAUUCUUUUUGG
rnacentral:lncRNA from 1 species